ACGCACGCUGGCGGCGUGCUUAACACCUGCAAGUCGAACGGAAAGGCCCUGCUUGCAGGGUGCUCGAGUGGCGAACGGGUGAGUAACACGUGGGUGAUCUGCCCCUUACUUUGGGAUAAGCCUGGGAAACUGGGUCUAAUACUGGAUAGGACCAUGCUGUAGGUGGUGUGGUGGAAAGAUUAGUUUCGGUAAGGGAUGAGCUCGCGGCCUAUCAGCUUGUUGGUGGGGUAAUGGCCUACCAAGGCGUCGACGGGUAGCCGGCCUGAGAGGGUGGACGGCCACAUUGGGACUGAGAUACGGCCCAGACUCCUACGGGAGGCAGCAGUGGGGAAUAUUGCACAAUGGGCGCAAGCCUGAUGCAGCGACGCCGCGUGGGGGAUGACGGCCUUCGGGUUGUAAACUCCUUUCAGCCAUGACGAAGCCCUUGUGGUGACGGUAGUGGUAGAAGAAGCACCGGCUAACUACGUG
rnacentral:rRNA from 1 species